GUCUCUUUGAUUGGUAUAAAGAGUCUGACCUGCCCACUGAUUAUAAUAUUUAAGGGCCGCGGUAUUUUGACCGUGCAAAGGUAGCAUAGUAAUUAGAUUUUUAAUUAGGAUCUUGUAUGAAUGGUCGGAUAAAAGAAUAACUGUCUUUAUAUUUUAUAUUGAAUUUAACUUUUAAGUGAAAAGGCUUAAAUAAUUUAAGAAGACGAUAAGACCCUAUAAAACUUAUACAUUAUGUUUGAAUUUUGUUGAAUUUUAUUAUAAUAAUUUGAUUUAUUAGUGUGUUUUAUUGGGGCGAUAGAAGCAAAAUAAUUAAUAACUGCUAUAAUAUUUAAACAUUUAUUAGUGAAUUUUAUUAUUGUUGAUCCUUUGUUUGAGAUUAGUAGAUUAAGUUACUUUAGGGAUAACAGCGUCAUUUUUUUUGAGAGUUCUUAUCGAAAAAAGAGAUUGCGACCUCGAUGUUGAAUUAAGAUAUCUGUAUAAUGUAGCUGUUAUAUAAGAAGGUCUGUUCGACCUUUAAAUUUUU
rnacentral:rRNA from 1 species